rnacentral:lncRNA from 1 species
UCCUUGAAACGUUCGAUACAUUUUCCCCAACAAACCAGCGUCUUCUCUUCUUCUCUCUACCGAAGCACCCACUUCUUUUCUCCCCUGUUCUUGCUUUGUUCCACCAAAAACCCGACCUCAUCUCGGCCUCUCACGACCGGUGCCUCCAUCCAGUAGCGAAAUCUUUUGUUCGGAGCUCCAUCGCCGGCCGUGGAACCCUAGCUCGCCUGACGCCUCCUCCCUUCCCCACCAGUGAAAGAUCCAGGCAAGUGGGGUUGUGUUUAGAGUUUCGAGUUCACGAAAAGGCUGUUUCUAGUUGUGCAUGUGAGAAUCGGGGUAGAUUUUGAAGUUGGGUGCAAGAAAUUUGGGAACCAAAGCUCUGUUUGGGAGCUAAAAUUUGGGGGACUCGAAGUUCUAUUCCUUUGCGCUAGACAUUGGUUGCUGGAUGAGGUACUGUCGCAUGUUAUUUAGAGGAUUUUCCUCUCCUCCGGUUCUGUUGUGGUUCGGCCUCACCUAUGGUGUGCCGUUUGCAAGUUGUCUGUCUGGUUAAUGGCCAUCAUGGGAGUAGAAAGUCUGCAAGAAAGCUGAGAAAUAUUGUUUUGCUUGGUAGAAGGCCAUGAGUGUUGUGAACAUUUGCUUUGUACCUAGUUGUAGAAUGUUUCUUGUGGGUAAAGACCUACUGUAAUUAAUUUUAGAUGCUGUGGAAGAGUCUUGAGGUGUUGUAAAAGAGAUUGGUGGAGAAAUUUGCAGUUCGGUUGAACUAAAAACAGAAGAAAACAGUAUAAGAUGCUUCUGUUUUAGAGAAAUAUAGAUGGAAAACCUUUUGUUUUGGUGUCGCCUUAAAUUAUGAUGAUGUAGAUAAGGAAAAGAACAAGUUUACUUGAGAGAACAUUCAUUAGAUCAAGUUCGGCAUCUAGUUAUAGCAAGGUUAAUGAGAAAAUGUGUUGGUAAGAGCAUUUACCUUGAACUAGUAAGCUGUACUUUAGAAAACAGCAAUACCUUAGGUGAUUUCACGAGUUUUCUGUAAUUUUCUAGAAAGAAUUGGACAUUAAACUCUUAAUGAAAGUUGUAGGACAUAUUCUUGAGAAUGACAUAUCAAAAUUUGAGAGUAAAUGGUCAAGGUUAAGGUGGUGAAACGAUAUUUCUUCUGUAGGUACUAAAUCUAAGAGUUGCUGCAGAAUUUUGAGGAGAAGACAACAAAUUACUGCUUUUAAUAUACUGAGAUUUAGGCUUAGGUUUCUUCACGGAAAAUGUUAAUCUACGUCUCUUCUAUAACAUACUGAAAUUUUAUAACAUUCUGAUAAGAUUAAAUAUACUUUUCUGUGUCUGUGAUUGAAAUUGCUCAUUUUCAGUCUAUAGACUGCUUUGAUCCGAGAAUGUGCAGCAGUUGCUAUGUCGCCUUUAAUGAGAGUUCCUAUAUACUUUGAAGUAUUUAAUUACAUGUGUUUAGACAUGUUUAUGGUUGUUCACAUGCUGAGGUUGUUGGUGCUGCAACAUGGGAAUUGUGAAUGUGUGAAGUUGGCUAAGAGCCAAUGUGAGACCCCGGGUGUCGGGAUGCCUGGAGAGAGGUGACGAAGAGUAGUGGUAGUCUCUCCAGAGGUCUGAGAAGGGUUGAAUAGCUUCUCAGGAGACUCGUGAUGCCAGGUUGGGUGCGAGGGGUACAGGGUGGAGUGUCAUCUCCCCCUGGGUGAUCGUGGACCUCGUGAUGCCAGGUUGGGUGCGAGGGGUUCAAGGUGGAGUGUCGUCUCCCCCCAGGUGAUUGUUGCAGCUAGAUUUCUGUGGAUUCAACAAAUUGAUGAUUCUAUUUACCUAUUUGUCUUGUUAUUGGCCAAUCCAAGUUAGGACUAACCGCCCACUUGCUGAGUUUUUAAUUUAAAAACUCACAUUUGUUUAUUGUGUCUUUCUUUUAGAGUAAGAGGUGGCUGAGGAGCGCUCGACGUGUGGAAGAAUUUUGUUUUUGGCUCAACGAGAGGCGGGAUAUUUACUAUUUGUGGUUCAUAGUGCUUUUAUUUAUUUAUUUAUAGAAAUCCCCCUCUUAAUCUCAUCUCCCCACGUGUAAAGAAACCAAGUUUUAUGAUAAAUAGAGUUGAGUAGCUCAAUUCCUUAUGAUUUAGCUUGAUUGUAAUUUAUUUUACAACUCAUGAAGUACAAACAAGUCAAGUGAAAUUAAUGUAUAUGAGAUCCAGG